rnacentral:rRNA from 1 species
UACGUAGGGUGCGAGCGUUGUCCGGAAUUACUGGGCGUAAAGAGCUCGUAGGUGGUUUGUCACGUCGUCUGUGAAAUUCCGGGGCUUAACCUCGGGCGUGCAGGCGAUACGGGCAAUACUUGAGUGCUGUAGGGGAGACUGGAAUUCCUGGUGUAGCGGUGAAAUGCGCAGAUAUCAGGAGGAACACCGAUGGCGAAGGCAGGUCUCUGGGCCACUACUGACGCUGAGAAGCGAAAGCAUGGGGAGCGAACAGGAUUAGAUA